ACAACACUUAAAAGUCAAUGCAGAUUGAGGAAAAGAAACUCACUAUUUAAUAUUGACUUUGCCCAGAGGGUAUCCUAUGAAGCUAUAUCUACUCAAGGUUUUCUAAAGAUAACCAGCUUCAGUUACCCUUACAUUCCAGCUCAGGCUUGAUCCAUACUAAAACUGAAUAUUUGCCCUCCGCCUGCUGCAAACUCUAGCAGGCUUGUAAUUGUGUGUGCAUGUCACAAUGGCUCGUCAAAUGCUGAAAAAUCCAUGGUCACCUUGAAGAAGAUGUGUCCCUCUAAGAGUGACGGAUGAUGUCAGCUAGCGCAAGCUAUUUGUUUCCUCAUGAAGAUGUCAAUAUUUUCAUCAAUGUGCAGCAUUUUUUUCACUUGUUUUUAUGCUAGCUAGCAAGCUAAGAAACCACUGUUUGCCACAAUUUGCGUGUCAGCUGACUAGCUAGCUAAGUUGUAGUCACUGUUAUAGCAGAUGAGAAAUGUUUAUCUUGUUUUUUUAUUGCUAAACAUACUGUAUGUGCCUUUUAUUAUAGGCAAGUCAACCCAGUUUUCAUGAUUUCUGGUAGAUCAUCGAAAUAAAUCAAUCACAUGUUUUUGGAAUUCAUUAGUUUUUACCUAAUUAAAUUCCUAAAGGAAAAUAAUGUUGAAUGUUCCAUUUAUAUUCCUAAAACAUAAGUUUAAAAUGAUGUUAUGACUGCUUCCUGUUGACAAUAACUUUUAAUAAAUAGCCCAAUGUUAAAACACUG